CGCUUGGCAAAGAGUAACUCAUUUUAAUGCCUCUCGCUACCCCUGGCCCUAGCUUUGAAGGAAUCAUGCGACACACUCGCACUCCACUACCCCAUCCCAUGGAAAAACGCUCACACCAUCGAGGUGUUGACCAAAAUUUCGCUGUGUGCAUGAGACACACACUCGCACUCCUCCAGCCCUCCACUGCUGAACGCUCCCACCGUUGCGAAUUUGCGAGGAUUUUUGCUCUGAGCGUGAGACCCUGAAGCGCCAGAGAUGACACUAUGUGUAAAGACGAUCAUAAUUCGAUAUGGUCAAAAUGCGUCGAUUAUUGUUUCAUAUAUCUGGUAAUGAUGUUUUCACUUCAUCAAAAUUUUAAACAUUAACAACUAGGCUGAUAACAAUAGUUGAAAUGUAAAUCAGAAUAAAAUCAAUUCAUUUGAAGUAAAAUAAAUUCCAUUAUACUUUAUUUUGACCAUAUGAUCAACACUUGUACAUAGUGCCAUUUACUUUGUGUUCUUCACUCUUGCGUUGUGUUUUGAUCGUUCGAAACUCAUUGCCAGAACGAAUGCAAAUUUCAUUUGGGAAGGAUCGGUGCCGGAAGAUGCAGUGAAAAUUAUAAAAUGUUUAUAGAAAAGUGGUUAAGUAAAUCGUGAAAGAUGUCAACGCAGGCGUAAAUGCAGUUUGUUUUGUUACUUGAUCUACGGGUAAGUGUAUGCAUAAGAAGAAGAAUCUUGCAAAUGAUGUUUAUGUUCUAACAAUCGUAUUGCUUUUAAUGUUUGUUUAUUCUUCUAUUAUUUUCUAUCACACCUAGCUAUUUCAUUACCAAAGCACCUGAUAACCGAUCAAAGAAGGUGAAUCGGGCUUAUAGAGUCGCCGUUUAACUUCAAAUAUCUUCGUGAUCGGAAAACGCAUCAAACACCAAGUGUUUUUCUUCCAACAGCACGCGCCAUAGGUGGAGCAAGCAGCCAACGUUUCGUUCGUCUAGCACGCACCAUCAAGAAUUGAAAUAUUCCCGAAUAGCUCUGUGAAUAAAAAACUGCACACUUACUGUCGGAA